CGGGCCAACAAUGACUUUCACCGGGAAACGGCAUCAAGGGCACAAGCGGGUCCAGCAACUCCUUUUGCCACCUAGAGUAUUGUUUCAUAGGUGAUUCAUAGGCCUCAACCCAGAAAAUGGAACAAAAGCUGCAAACAGAAAAG